rnacentral:rRNA from 1 species
ACUCCAGGCGUGCCUUAGUACGGCGAGUGAAGCGGCAAAAGCUCCAAAUUUGAAAUCUGGCACCUUCGGUGUCCGAGUUGUAAUUUGAAGAAGGUAACUUUGGAGUUGGCUCUUGUCUAUGUUCCUUGGAACAGGACGUCACAGAGGGUGAGAAUCCCGUGCGAUGAGAUGCCCAAUUCUAUGUAAAGUGCUUUCGAAGAGUCGAGUUGUUUGGGAAUGCAGCUCUAAGUGGGUGGUAAAUUCCAUCUAAAGCUAAAUAUUGGCGAGAGACCGAUAGCGAACAAGUACAGUGAUGGAAAGAUGAAAAGAACUUUGAAAAGAGAGUGAAAAAGUACGUGAAAUUGUUGAAAGGGAAGGGCUUGAGAUCAGACUUGGUAUUUUGCGAUCCUUUCCUUCUUGGUUGGGUUCCUCGCAGCUUACUGGGCCAGCAUCGGUUUGGAUGGUAGGAUAAUGACUAAGGAAUGUGGCUCUACUUCGGUGGAGUGUUAUAGCCUUGGUUGAUACUGCCUGUCUAGACCGAGGACUGCGUCUUUUGACUAGGAUGUUGGCAUAAUGAUCUUAAGCCACCCGUCUAAAAAAAGGGACAAAAAAAAAAACCCCGGAAAAAAAAAAAAAAAAAAAA